CAAACGACUCUCGGCAACGGAUAUCCCGGCUCUCGCAUCGAUGAAGAACGUAGCGAAAUGCGAUACUUGGUGUGAAUUGCAGAAUCCCGUGAACCAUCGAGUUUUUGAACGCAAGUUGCGCCCGAUGCCAUUAGGCUGAGGGCACGUCUGCCUGGGUGUCACGU
rnacentral:rRNA from 27 species